GGAGGUCCAACGCGACGCAGCGCUGCGACGACGGAGCGAUCUCUGCUCUGUGCCGCAAGAUCGAGCGCCCGUUGACCAAAUAGAGCCCCACUGCCACCACAUCGAGUGCUCCGGGACCGGAGCGAGCUCCACUGCGGCCUGCUCGAGCGUCCCAACGACCAGAUUGAGACCGCAUCGAUCCAACCAACGCAGUUAGAUCCAGCUAUCGUUUGUCCACUUCUUGCCGCGGAGGGGCCUAAGAUGGGAAGGGGCAGAGGGGGCGGGCGCCACAGCUACGAUGAAGAGGGGCAGAGGUGGGCGCGACGCUAGGAGAGGGGCUAGCGCUGCACCACUUGUGCAGGGGCAGAGGUAGCUAAAGGUGGAGAAAGAUGGAGUGGCUCCGGGAAGAGAAAAAGCUCCGGCCGGAUUCUGACCGACUGGAGAUCGUGGGGCGAUUGCCGAUUUCAAGCACCGUGGCGAGAGCUUGAGCUGCACCAUCGAUGUCAGGCCUACGCAGAUGUGUGUCGGGGUCUCAUCUUCUGAUUCUGUUUAGUGGUGGUUCAUCUGGUCUUGGGUCAGCAAGGUACGCCAAUGAUUUUAGGCAUUCUAGACAAGAAUGAAAGAUUACACAGACCGGGUCAGAAGCUCGAAGAUGGAACUUGGUGCCAUGAGUCCAACACCUCUGAGCUGAAGGAUAUGGCAAUGUAUACUGAAAAUAGCUUGGGGGCUCCACUCGCAUAGUUUAAGUCAUUUGGAAAGAAUGUGGUAGUGUCAUUGUGUAACAUGUUUGGGUUUUUUUUGUUGUUGUUGAGAGUGGACUUGUAAUCACCAUGGAUAAAGAAUGACAGCCCUGCAACUUUGUGAGUUGGGUUUGGAUUUACAAAACAAUGGUGCUUUUAGGAGUAUAGGAUUGCCUUAAACCAUCUAAGUGGCCCAGAUGGAUUCUAAUUGUUCAA